CCUUUCUCGCUUCAUCCGCGGUCCCUGUCUGUUUUCGUUAUGGCGCCUUGUACUUCUACCCAACGUUGCCCGCCCCCCAUCUUCCCAGCCCACCAGCUCCGUCCGCCUCUCCGGAUGAUUCGUGAGAUACCGAGCCUGCCGGGAAGGGACCGGAUUUUUCCGUCUGGUCCAAGGAAGCACGGGUUAUGGCCACAUGCGCAGUGAUAACUCAGGGCCCCACGCCUUUUGACCCGUGAGUGUUGUAGGCUUGGGGGUGACGGGAUCUGCUGUUGAUGAAGAUUGUGAGGAGGGAGACCAGAAGAUAAUGGACAACGAUACAGCAGAAGGGUCUGGUUACACUUGAGCUUAUUUCUUGGAAGAGUCUGAGAAGACGGCCUGUCAGGCUCCUAACACUAAGGGCCAUGUAACCAGUGAAGCAGCCAUUAUAUAUGAUUUGGUCUACACUUGUUGGAAAAAUUCCACAAGAGGAUCUCCUGGAAGCUAGCAGAAGUUUUUGGCUUGUACAUUGCCAGGCAGCCAUUGGAAUCGGAGCUGCAGUCAGAUUAAGGCCAGCCUGGCCUACAUUGAGAAACCUCAUUUUGGGAAAGUGAAAUACUUUGUCAAUUAACAUGCAGUUGGUUCAAUAAAGACUUUUGGAAAGUGUCC
rnacentral:lncRNA from 1 species